rnacentral:rRNA from 1 species
AACGCUGGCGGCGUGCCUAAUCCAUGCAAGUCGAGCGAACAGACGAGGAGCUUGCUCCUCUGACGUUAGCGGCGGACGGGUGAGUAACACGUGGAUAACCUACCUAUAAGACUGGGAUAACUUCGGGAAACCGGAGCUAAUACCGGAUAAUAUAUUGAACCGCAUGGUUCAAUAGUGAAAGACGGUUUUGCUGUCACUUAUAGAUGGAUCCGCGCCGCAUUAGCUAGUUGGUAAGGUAACGGCUUACCAAGGCAACGAUGCGUAGCCGACCUGAGAGGGUGAUCGGCCACACUGGAACUGAGACACGGUCCAGACUCCUACGGGAGGCAGCAGUAGGGAAUCUUCCGCAAUGGGCGAAAGCCUGACGGAGCAACGCCGCGUGAGUGAUGAAGGUCUUCGGAUCGUAAAACUCUGUUAUUAGGGAAGAACAAAUGUGUAAGUAACUAUGCACGUCUUGACGGUACCUAAUCAGAAAGCCACGGCUAACUACGUG